GGCGGCUUAGCACAGUGGCAGUGCAUCAGUCUUGUAAACUGAGGGUCGAGGGUUCAAUUCCCUCAGUCGCCU
rfam:Naegleria gruberi genomic scaffold NAEGRscaffold_5, whole genome shotgun sequence.